GGGGACUUUGGACAUUCCGAUUGUUACUUAAGUGGUUCACAGAAGUCAAGAUAAGCGUUAGUUUGCACAUUGUCUGAGUUGGGUGGAAAUUAUAGACUUUAGUUACUUAUUACAAGCUGCAUGAGCCAGGCUGGAAUUA